GAACGGAAAAGAAUACCAAGGCUUGACAUGAACCGGACCGGGCUGGAAACAGUCCUUCCCCUUGUGGGCUGGUUUACAGGUGGUGCAUGGUUGUCGUCAGCUCGUGUCGUGAGAUGUUGGGUUAAGUCCCGCAACGAGCGCAACCCUCGUUCUAUGUUGCCAGCACGUGAUGGUGGGGACUCAUAGGAGACUGCCGGGGUCAACUCGGAGGAAGGUGGGGACGACGUCAAAUCAUCAUGCCCCUUAUGUCUUGGGCUUCACGCAUGCUACAAUGGCCGGUACAAAGGGUUGCGAUACUGUGAGGUGGAGCUAAUCCCAAAAAGCCGGUCUCAGUUCGGAUUGGGGUCUGCAGACUCGACCCCAUGAAGUCGGAGUCGCUAGUAAUCGCAGAUCAGCAACGCUGCGGUGAAUACGUUCCCGGGUCUUGUACACACGCA
rnacentral:rRNA from 1 species